rnacentral:lncRNA from 1 species
CGCCUUGACUGCCACUACUCAGGCCGAGGAUGAACUGGGCGUGGAUGUGUCGUCUCCCAGCGGCGAUUUGCUACUCCAUUUUCUCAAGAGCGGUGGGGGUGACGAGCAGCUGAGGAGCAGUAGCAGCUACAGGACCCAGCAGUCGCAGCUCACCGUCCCUGCCACAGCUUUGCUCCUUCUGGAGGACCUGGAGGAGGAGGAGAAGGUCCUGCACGACCACUCUACGUCCCAGCAAUAAGAUUUGGUGGGUGGUCACCUCACUUCCAGCAGCACCAAGACCCACUUUUCCCUUCGGAUCCAUUCUUGACUCCGUCGGACCACUGAUUUCUACGCUCGUUUGCUCCUCUUCCAGUCGAGAGACCGUUCCAUCCGCCAGUGCCGUAUCCUUUUCCAAAUGCUCCGACUUUCCAGCCUGCUGAUAAUGUGGUUCAUCCGCCGCAUUCCUCUGGGGAGCUUAAAGCUCGUCCUGCCCUUCACUUCGAGUCUCCGGUGCUUGGACCCAGCGCAGCAGAGACCUCGGACUCCAAACGCGCCCCAGAGCAGCCGAGGAGAUCGGUUACACCUGCGAAGGAUGACAAGCAACAAUUCCACGGCAAUGGUUCCGAGCUCCUUCAAUUGUUACAGGGUGGUCCUGGUCGUGUGAAGCCCACAGCCUCCACAAAGGUGGAUGCUACACAGGACAGUGGGGAUUCUGGAGAGCCAUCAAAGAAAGGAAGUCCAUCUGCUGUUCACGGCCCAUGUCGUUUCUCCUCCGAAUGACCUCCUUGGACGUUUGUGGCCUGCUCUUCCGUCGUCAAGCCACACUUUGUUUGGCGGAGAAAGCGAACGCAAGACGUCAGCCCGGAGCUUUGGCGUUGAAGUGAACGAUAUGUCCCGGGAAGUCGAUGGAGGUGGAGCUGCUGGUUUCGCACUUUUGAAGCGAAGGGGAUCGGAGCCUGCCGCCUCGCACCACCUUUAAACGACUUCGACUAUAACGACUCUAAGACAAAUGAUAAGCCGAGGACAAACUCAGCAUCCGGAAGACUACAGGACUAUCGUGGGAGAUACGUAAAUGGAGAGGCCGAAUUUGAGCCCGGAGGCGAUGACUUUAGAGGCUGACUCAAAGGCAGCAUUUCCAGCGGAGAAAAAACCGGACUACAAGGUUCCAAAGGCACGGUCUUUGGCAUCUCAACUUGGCAUCUCAACUUGAACGUCCAGGCUUGCCAUCGGGAAGUACGCAGAACUCUUCCGUUGGUGCGGCUUUUGAGGAGUCCAAACAGAGGCUCCAUAAUCUAGAUGCUUUGGAAGGAGAAGGCGUGACGACCUCUCUAGAUCUCGAGGAGCUACAAAUUGACGGUCACCGUCGUCAGGGUAAAGCUCCACAGUUUUACAAGGUUUGUGCUUGCUUUUUUUCUUUCUUUAUUUCCAUGUGUUUGUAUCUCUGGUUGCAGCCGAAGGAGAACCGUUUCAGGGAGUCCAGACACGUCAUUCCCAUGCACAGACGUGAUCUUCUUUACCGACUGGAUCUGCAGAAUUUCACUCGUGAGCUUUUCUGCCUCUACGACGAGCUUUUCUGCCUCUACGACGAACCGAAGAAGGGGAGGUCCGGAGAAGGAAGUCGAAGCUUGAGUCCCUUUUCGAGAGAGAGCUCCCGGGAACACGGCUCUUUCUUUGCGGAUCGUGUGUUAAUGCUUUUGGAGUUUGUAACAGUGACAUCGAUGUUUGCCUCUCCGUUGAUCAGGAAGAACAGAACAAGAUCGAGCUGCUUGUUCAAAUGGCAACUAUCCUCGAGUCAGAUGCCAUGUUAAACGUACAGGAGGCGUACGACUCAACGUGACUCAUGGUACCCAUAGUUUCUUAUCCGAAUUUUUAGCCAUCCUCGGAGAAAACUUUCCUUUCAUUGUUCUUGGCAACAAGGUCGAUGUCGAUGGAGGGAACAGUAGAGUGGUGAGCUCUUUUGUUUCAUCUCUCGCCUCACUUUAAAGCUUGUGUGUUUAGGUUUCCGAGGAGAAAGCCAAGGUCUGGUGUGCUUCCAAGGGAAACAUUCCAUACUUUGAGGCGUCUGCCAAGGAAGACUACAACGUGGAGGCUGCGUUUCAAUGCAUUGCCAAGAAUGCCUUGAGGAGCGAACCCAAGGAACACUUGUAAGUUUUGCUUGUUUCUUCUUGUGAUGUUUCAAUCUCACAUUUAACUUCUGGCAGCUAUCUUCCAGAGACGAUCGACAUUACAAAUAACAAUUGAUCUACUACUACUGUCCCUCUAUCGAUAAGUGUUUUCGCUUUCAAUUUAUAUGGUUUUUUUCUUUCUUUUUCUUGUCACUCUCUCCUUUCGCUCGUUGGCCUUGGAUUUUUUAACUUCUCAAAUACGUUUUUUUUUUUUUGCUACGAAAUAAUUUUUCUUCUUCGAUCUUGUAUCUAGUUACUACUAGUAGUGCGCAAAUUGUUGUGUUUGUGUAUUAUUAAAUUUUCUUCGUUUCUAAUGGAUUGCUAGUUGACGAGAAUGUGUCACAACAUGCCUAGUUUUUCUCGAUUCCACAAGUCUGGGUUGCAAAUAAGCAAAGGCUGUGAUUGACACUGCAUCACAAGAGUUUCCAAUCCUUGGCAGCGAUGCAACUUCGAAGCUGUGCAACCCUUUCAUUGUCUUAUUCAGCCGCCAAUUUCAUUAUCCAAAAGUAUGGGGAAUGUGGCGAUGUGGAUGGCUUCCACAAACCAAAGCAAUCAGGAUCGAGAGAGAUCGCUACAUUGAUCUCGAAAAGUGCAUAUUCUUAAUAUUCCUAUGUUUUCCAUAUUUUACCAUUUACUCUGUACACCAAAACCACGAGAGUAAAGUAAUAUCCCGAGAAUACGAUUUGUAAGAAAAAAAGAAACUGUUUCUUCUCCAAACGCUGCUGACGCUGUGAAAUCUCUGUUUUCGUUUUUUGAUGUCCUGCUUGUGAUGCAAAAUAGUGUAGCAUUUGCGCAGAUCUUCAAGAACCCAAUCGAUGUCCACUGAAGGAGCAAGGUUUGAAAGUGUCGAUGUGGAGAUCCGGCCGUUCCACAAGCCAAGGUGGAACUUUCGUACCUUUUGGGCACCAUAGGGAUUCGAGCCUUGGAAAUAAGCCAAGGCCGUGAUUGUCUGAACUCAAUUGGGGCCACACUACAUCAUCAUGACCAAAGAGCACAAGUUCCUCCAAUCCUGGAAGGGAUGCAAUGGAUGAUGGAAUAUUUUCGUUCCUAUCCAAGGUUACUUUUGUUAGAGCAGUCAUCUGGUCUGUUGGCUCAAAGAAAUCAUUGGGGGAGCUGCUUAAUAAUAGCCUCCCUCGCGAAUAAUUCGACCUGUUUCACCUUCAGCUGUGAUCUUUCGGUUGGCAUCAAGAGUCUCCUCAUGUAACCUUCUACUCUCAGUUCAUCAAGGUCUUUGGGGAGUUGUGUCACAAAGAGAGGCAAAUGCUCCCAUGUAUUAUCAGGAGCCAGAUAGAAUCUUAACCUCUUCAGGUUUGGAAGACUUGCUGCCAAAUCGUCCUUGAACUCGGACUGUGCAAUGUGUAGAUUUUGAAGGCCCAGAACUUCAAGGCAUGGGAACAAUCCAUCCAGACUGAAGAACUGGAUGCCACUGCAGUCUAUGUGAAGUACUUGUAGCCGUUGAAAGCCCUUUAGCCAAGACAGGUCUUUCAUUGUCCCAUUGUUUUCACCGUCUUGUACCCCGUCAAUCGAAAAGUGCUGAAGCUGUUUGGAAUUCUUAAACAUUCGCUUCAAGUCAAGUUUGAUAGUCGAUUGCACGCUAAUGUCACAUAGUCUUAGAUUGACAAGUUGCCACGGGCCGGUGAAAUCACCAAAGUCCAUGCUCUUUGCACACAACACCAGUGUCUCAAUGUCCUCUAGUGCACCAAGGCUGUGCGGUAUUUUUAUUGUUGCAUCGUGGAGGUGUAGGUCUAAAUGUCUUAGCUUGUGUAGGCUUGAAAUUCCACUCAGAUCCACAGCUAACUCAUUGGAAAGAAGCUCCACACGUUCAAGGCAUGGGAACGAUCCAUCCAGACUGAAGAACUGGAUACCACUGUAGUCUAGGUGAAGUUCUCGUAGCCGUUGAAAGCCCUUUAGCCAAGACAGGUCUUUCAUUGUCUCAUUGUUUGUGAUCCUUAAAAAUUGUAGCUGUGGCCAUUCGAGGCUAUCGGCAUUGUUUUCACCGUCUUGUACCCUGUCAAUGGUAAAGUCCUCAAGCUGUUUCGAAUUCUUAAACAUUCGCUUCCAGUCAAGUUUAAUAGUCGAUUCCACCGUAAUGUUACAUCGUCUUAGAUUGACAAGUUGCCACAGGCCGGUGAAAUCGGCAAAGUCCAUGCUCUUUGCCCGCAACUCCAGUGUCUCAAUGUCCUCUAGUGCACCAAGGCUUUGAGGUAUUUUUAUUGUUGCAUUGUGGAGGUUUACCUUUAAAUGUCUUAGCUUGUGUAGGCCACUCAAAUCCACAGCUAACUCCUUAUAGGAAUGAAGGUCCAGCUCUUCCAAGUUGAAUAAUUGGGGCAGUAAUGCAAAGUUGAAUUUUGUGAUGUCAUUGUAUUUCAAAACCUUCAGUGAUGUCAAGCUGAAGAGCCCAUCUGGCAAUUGAGGCACACCUGAAUCUCGAAGGUCAAGCACUUGAAGGUUUCUCAGCUUGGAUAUGCUCUCUGGAAUAAAACGGACCCAAUUUCUAUACAAGCUCAAUACCUUGACAUUUUGGAUGUGAUCUAUAAUAAGACUGACAUCCACUCUAGAAUGACAUCCAUCGAGAAGCAAGACAUCUCGCACAUGAAUGUCAGACAAAAGGCUCCUUGUAACAUUCUUUUGAAUGAAUGAAACUUUAGAAAAUGUUGGAGAAAUCCCAGGUGGACAAUCAUAGCCAAACAGACAUCCCUUCUCGUGCUCUUCCUGGGGUGGGUACUUCCCUUUCAAGAUUCUUAUGCACAGCUUGCGUACCAUAUCGUGCACAGUUACAUACUUUUCCCGAAGUAUACUAGUUGUCUUCACUAGGCAUCUUCGUUCCAGUUCACUAACAAUCUGCAGAGGCGAGAGUUCUGACCCAACCGCUAUCCAACAUUUUCUCAGAUCAUCAAACUCGAUUCGCCGAUCUUCUGGAAACGCAGCCACAUAGAGAAAGCACUCUUGCAGCUUUUCAUCCUUAUUAAAGCGUCCCAGCUCGUCAUAGCUAAACUUCAAGCGCUGGAACAUCCGCUUCUCAAUGUCCCCGUCAUUCAACAAAUGCAUCUUCUGAUAGCGUUCUUUCCACACCUGUGGCCCCUCAUUCCUGUAGACAGCCAUGGCACUGCCAAUCACUUCAAGAGCUAAAGGGAGCCCCUCACAUUUGCUAGCUAUUCUCUCGGCAACUUUCACAAUGUCCGGAUCACUAGGUAGUGAAUCAUAAAAGGCAAACUUCCAAAACAUCUUUUUGCUCUCGGCCUCUGAUAGCUCAUGCACAGGAAAUGCCUUUGCACCCAGCAUGCUCAAAAUGCCUUCCUUUCUGGUUGUUACCAGCACCCGGCUGUAAGAGGACGGCCCUGCUAUAAAAUCCAGUCCCUUGGCCCAGCUCAUGUCCCACACAUCAUCCAGUAUCAGCAAGACACAAAUUCCACGAGCAACAUUUUGUGCCAAGUGCUGCACAUGCUCAAGGGUGCCUGCAUUUUGGGCCCUCUCUUUCAUGCCGCCCCAUUCAAGAGUGUUGAGGAGCUGGGCCCUGAGAUCGUCCUCCGAUGCAUCUUUCUUGACAGUGAUCCACACAAUGUUGUCAUGGAAAUGCUGCCGGACCCUCUCGUCAUUGUGCACGAAGCUUGCAAGGGUGGUCUUGCCACACCCUCCCAUUCCCAGGAGUCCAAACCAUUUCCCCGGGGCUUGUGGAUCCAGGAGGGCAUUCACCACCUCAUCCAGCUGCUCCCCAUGGCGGCCAAACAUGUCGCUGGGCUCGGGACCACCACGCCGUACAUAGUUUACGAGACCUCUGUCUUGUGGACAACUCCGUACGGAAAAGCUGGUGCUCGGCUGUAUCACUCUCAACUCUUCUCGCUCGUACCUUUCAAUCUGCGGGAGGAGAUCGUCCUCGCAAGUGCGUACCAGCUCCGAAAUCGCGCCAGAUCGCUUCUCCCUGCGCGACAGAUCCAUCUUUUAGCUCCAUUGCUUCAAACAUGAAUUCGAAUAAGCCUUACUGUGAUCCAAGCAGCGCUUGCGCCUUCUUAGUCCAUUCAGUCAGUUCAGUCAGCCACGCCUCAGCCUCACCAGAGUAGCGGAAGUCUGGAUUCCUGUGCUUGGGAGCAUUAAACUUGUCAAGCGUGGCCUGGAUUCUGGAUGCCCUCUUCUUUAGCUCCUCAACGUGGACAUUCAGCUCAUGCUCGUGACCUUGGAUCUGCGACAGGAGAUCGUCAUAGGCACUUAAGGACUUCGCGAUCUCGUCACUCCGCUUGUACCUAUAGGAAGUGGAGAAGUUCAACCAGCUGCCUGCUAUUUCUAAACACACACACACACACACACACACACACACAAAAGAUAAAAUGCUACUGUACCGACCGCUUUAUGGGGCUCCAGAUCCUGUUGUCGCGUGAUCCCAAGAGUGCUUGUGCCUUGGUGUUCCAUUCCCUGACACGCUCCAAGCAUUCCUCGGCCGCUUCAGAGAACGUGAAGCCAGAAUUCUGCUGCUUGUGAUCGCUGAAAGCGUUGAUCUUGGCCUGGAUGUGGUGCGCCUUGUUCUCCAGCGUGUCAAUGUUGGCAUUGCAGUCCCAUAUCUUCUUAGCAGGGCCCAGAGCCAAGCCACACAAGGCGCCUGCCAAGGAGCCCACAACCUCCAUGCCUGUAAACCUACAAGUAAAGGUUCCCAGAAAGAAGCGCAAUAUUAACUCUUGACCUUGUAGAUCGGACUUUUUUCACAGCUGUGACUCACUCACUCUAAGAGAUUCACAGUGAGCACCGCAACGAUCGCUACAUCGCUUGAGAAACACCUCUAUUUGUACAAACAGACAAACGUGGAGCACGUAAAGUCUUUGGCCUAAAACGGGCAUCUUAAAGAUGCGACACGUCGUCUUUUCUCUUGUACGGCGUUGAUCCAGGCGUACGGAAAUAGAGGGCUCCUCUGCCUAUCUUUGAUGGGAUCCGGGCGAUCUUGUCACCGACGUCUUGAAAGAUCUUAGAUUCUAUCCGCAAUCGCCCAGUCAAUGCGAUCCUGGCGAUGGGUGCUCCAUAUCAUUCUAUUCCCGCCCGGACGUGAUCUCCAGGAUUUGCGAAGAAGAAGGUCGUCGAUCAGAUGCGCGAUGCUGGCGCGCAAUUGAUUGGGGCUUCCCGCUACAUUUUCCCGCGCUAUCGUCUCUACUUCUCCAUUCUAGGGUUCUUUCUUGGAGGCGACGUAGGUUUUCUAUUGCCCGCGUGGUCGAGGAGACGGCGCUGGGGGGCGGCCUUGAUCGGCGUUCUGGAGCUGCACAGGUAAUGGGGCUCGACACUCCGGGUUUUAGAAAUAGGAAGAGGCUCCAGCUUAAGGCUCCGACGAGCAGUGCCAAGGCGAGGAGCCCCAGCCAGCGUUGGUAAAUCGUGGACGACAGGGAGCUCUAGAUCUACGGUGACAACAAAGGCCCCUACGGCAAAAUGUUCCAUCGGCAGUGGAUCGCCAAAAACUCCCGCAAAAGCUGAGGCUUCUAGGACAGCAAAAAUUGCCGAGGUGAUUGUUGAUAGUGGAGCAGAGGAUUUAGAUGAUUCGGGAGUAGAAAGUGGAGCAAUCGAUGGUGGGGAAGAAGAGGUAAACAAGAUUAAGACUGGAGGAGGAAACGAUGCCGAGGUGGAAAGAACAACAGUGGUCGAGAGCUCCAUUGAGACUGUCUGGAAACAUGGCGAGGCUGUUUCUAGCGCCUUAGCUGGACUUUCAAUCAGAGGUAGUGCCUUGACCCACGGUAAUCCCGUUAAGAUGGAAGCUGGUUGUGGUUCCGUGAAAGCUGAAGCGUCGGUUUCGAUCGCAGCUGGAUGUGAUCCUAUGAAAGUAGAUGGGUUGGUGAAGAUGGAAGCUGGUUUUGAGUCUGCAAGAGUCGAAGCUCCGGUUGGCUCGGUGAAGAUGGAACCUGGUUAUGAUACUGUGAAAGUUGAAACUCCAUUCAGGGGUGGUAAAGCUGCCCAUUUGUCUGAAGCGAAGGUGGUUCCAAUAGAAAAUGACACGGCUAAAGCUGCAGAGAAGCAACCAGUUGUUUUAGAUGCAGAGAGGUGGUGGCUUCUCCAAGGGACUGAAGCUGCCGGGGACUCGACGUCCAGGGGAUGCCGGAUUCGUGUUGGCGAGUUCGUGUCCUUCAAUUUUCCCAAGCCUGAAGCCGAAAGUAAGAAGAAGUUCUUUGAGCACAAGAAGGUUCGGCCGAAAGCGAGCUCCGACAUUGUAAGGUUCUUGACAAAAGCUUCAGGAGAGGUACGUUUCACUUGACUUGUUUCUUCGUUUUAAUUCUAACCAUUUGCUCACAGAUAGGACGGCUUCCAGCCGACUGGGCCAAGUGUUUGAUACCUUUGGGAAGUGCAAAAUGGCACCAGAGGCUCUUUCUCUUAUGAGCAGCGUAGUUCUCCAUUUGAGGUUGAGUUUUCUGUGUUUACCAGAGACGUUACGUAUAUGAUGUGCUUGCAGAGUUUAUAUCAACAAGUCAGAAGCCUUACGAGGAGGGGGAUGAGCGCGGAUUGAAGCUUCUGCAAGCUAUCUUGAAGCCGUUAAUGCUUCGAAGAAUAAAAGAUUCAACUGAUAAAGAAGGAAGGUAAGCUAUCAUGCAGGCGUUCCUGUACGAAAUAGGAACUCAUAACUGUACCAACAAGUAAUCGGUUUCGAAUAAAUGUCGAGGAGCAGUGGAAGGAGUCGUCCAAAGUCGAGGCUCUGCUGCACCACCUCCAGACGUUAAGUGAGGCCGGGUCGAAAAGCGUUGAUUUUAGUCAGUGGACAGCGUUUCUCGACUUGUUAGAGAUACCAUUGAAAAGGUAUGAGCGUCUUUCCUUUUGGUGCUUUCUCUUUGUUUGUGUUUCUAACAAUGCACUGCCAGGAAGACCUUCUGUUUCGUCCGCUUGGACGGAACACUAUCGCAGCGUCAGCGAGAACAAGUGCUCAAAAACUUCAGCAAUAUUCCAGCCGUGGCCGUAAGCUUUUUGUGUUGCUUACCUCCAAGAAACCACUCUAUUUUGUGGACAGGUCAUGCUCUCAUGCUUUUCUCAUGGUACGCGCUAUAGUUUUCUUUUUUAGCCAUCUUCCGAGUCGAGAAUGUGGACGAUCGAGCAUCGGUCAGACGAAGAACGUAUCGAUCAAGCGAUUCAUCGUCAAAGUAAGCGCCACUUGAAACUCUCUUUGACGUUUCUCAUGUCUCUAGAGGAGGAGAGAGUGCAACAGGUCCAAGCGAGGAAGCAGCGAUUGAUCGGGGGCUCUCACAGACGAAGAGGUGCGAAGCGCUCGAAUCGCGGAGCUCAAAAUGCUAUUUAGAUGAGAAAAACUGGAGUCCUUCGCAGUUUUUUUAACUUAUUAUAUCAGUAUACAUAGUUAAAGAGGGGAAUAUGCUUCUAGCAUCGGCGCGUAUAUUCUUCGGAUAGUUUACUGAAUGAAUGUGUCAUAGGCUAUCGAUAUAGGAGCUAUGGCUCAUUUCUAGGUUUCUUCGACAGCGAAGGAGCAGGCGAUCGCGUCGCAAGCGGCGACGAGCAAGGUAUGCAUGCUAAGAUCGCCUCGAGAAGCAGCAGCAGCGCCGGCGCCGGCGCCGCGCCGCGAUUUCGCUGGCCUAGAGCCGGAGUAGCCGAGCUAGAUUCAUGCAAGCAUAUGAUCUCUAGGAAAUUGAGCUGAACGCUGAGGCUUUGCAGGCGAUCGCGUCGAUUCCUCUCGUCUCCGCGGCCGGGGCGGCUAGAAAGCCGGGGCGCAUUCUAGAGUUUCGGGGUUUCUGGGGCGAUCAGUCAUGUAGCGGGCAGUGAUUCUCUCACAGGGAGCUCAGCCAUGACGUGGAAUCCGCCACAAGUUCCUCCCAGCUUGUCCGCCUCGACUGCCACUACUCAGGCCGAGGAUGAACUGGGCGUGGAUGUGUCGUCUCCCAGCGGCGAUUUGCUACUCCAUAUUCUCAACAGCGGUGGGGGCGACGAGCAGCUGAGGAGCAGUAGCAGCUACAGGACCCAGCAGUCGCAGCUCACGGUCCCUGCCACAGCUUUGCUCCUUCUGGAGCACCUGGAGGAGGAGGAGAAGGUCCUCCUCCACGACCACUCUACGUCCCAGCAAUAAGAUUUGGUGGGUGGUCACCUCACUUCCAG